AGGAGGAACAACCCCAGUGGCGGCGGCAGCUCUGCAGCCCUGGAUUCAGCUCCCGCAGUGACUACUGAGCUCUGCCUCUGCAGGGCCUGGAGGCUCUGGGCGGGG
rnacentral:pre_miRNA from 1 species